ACGUCCGUACCGUGCUGAAUAUACCGGUUCUCGUUAGAUCACCGAAGUCAAGCAUCAUUGGGCGCGGUCAGUACUUGGGUGGGUGACCACCUGGGAACACCGCGUGCCGUU